UACGUAGGUGGCAAGCGUUGUCCGGAAUUAUUGGGCGUAAAGCGCGCGCAGGUGGGAUAUUAAGUCUGGUGUUAAAGUUCGGGGCUCAACCCCGUGAAGCAUUUGGAAACUGAUAUUCUUGAGUGCAGGAGAGGAAAGUGGAAUUCCUAGUGUAGCGGUGAAAUGCGUAGAUAUUAGGAGGAACACCAGUGGCGAAGGCGACUUUCUGGACUGUGUCUGACACUGAGGCGCGAAAGCUAGGGAAGUGAACAGG
rnacentral:rRNA from 1 species